rnacentral:lncRNA from 1 species
GUAAGGAUACAACAAGGAGAGGCCACCUGCAAGCCACGAAGACAAUCCUUCAGUAGCCUUCAGAUCCGCCAACACCUUGAUCCUGGGUUUCCGGCUGCCAGACCUGUGAGAAAGCGAUGCCCGUUGUUUAAGCCCCUGGUCUUUGAUCUGUUACUGCAGCGCGAGCUGACCACGCACUCAGUGUGAGGCGAUGACCUUUUUCUCAACCAUGUGCAGGUGGUAUUUCUGCGUGCUUCAAAUAUCACAGGUCGGAUUGUCAGGAAGCCAAGGAGGGGACUUUUGGAAGAGAAUGCUGCUGAGCCAUCCGGGUCCCUGGACAGCCAGCGGCCCUGAGACAGACAGAAGUUUGGACAACUCAGGACAGGGAGCUUGGAGGGCAGCCCCUACAUGUCUGAGUUGUCCCUACCUGUGUUGACUCAACUCUUCCUUCAAGGCAAGAGCCGCUAAGGAUAGUCAGGACAUCCUACCGCCCAAGGCCCAAGGACUGUACAGGAAGGAUGGCUGGGGAGGCCUCAGGAAACUUACAAUCACAGCGGAAGGCAAAGAGGAAGCAGGCAGCGGCUUCGUGGCAGCAGCAGGAAGAAGGCGGCGGGGAGGUGCUACAUACUUUUAAACAACUGGAUCUUGUGAGAACUCACUCACUAACAGGAGAACAGCAAGGGGGAAAUCUGCCCCCUGAUUAUUCAGUCACCUCCCACCAGGCUCCUCCUCCAGCAGUGGGGAUUACAAUUUCACAUGAGAUUUGAGUGGGGACACAAAUCCAAACCAUAUCAGUGUCAUUAAAAAAAAGUUGCCCUGCUAACUUUUUUAAUCCCCUGUAAAUCUAAAUAAAAUAAUGAUGUGAGC